GAGAAAACCAAUAAGAAUAAAGCUGUAAGCAUGAAAUUUAAAUUUUUAAUAAAUUAAUAAUUAGCUGUAAUAUCCUUUCAUUUCCCUUCCGUCCAAAAAUCUCCAUCUCUGGUACUUGAACCAAGUAAGCUUGGAUGAAACAGAUUCCAUGAAUUAUCUGUACAAUCGAUCUUUAAGUUAAUAUCUGAUCUAUUGUACAAAUUAUUAAUGUCCCUUAGUCCCA
rnacentral:antisense_RNA from 1 species